UGAGCGCGUAGCUCAGGUGGUAGAGCACGUGACUUUUAAUCAUGGGGUCGAGGGUUCGAGUCCCUCCGCGCUCACCAU
rnacentral:tRNA from 1 species